CCUACGGGCGGCAGCAGUGAGGAAUAUUGGUCAAUGGGCGCGAGCCUGAACCAGCCAUGUCGCGUGAGGGAAGACGGUCCCAUGGAUUGUAAACCGCUUUUGUCCGGGGGCAAACGAAGCCACGCGUGUCGUUCCGAGAGUAUCCGACGAAAAAGCAUCGGCUAACUCCGUGCCAGCAGCCGCGGUAAUACGGAGGAUCCGAGCGUUAUCCGGAUUUAUUGGGUUUAAAGGGUGCUAAGGCGGAAGAUCAAGUAAGAGGUAAAAUUGAGGGGCUCAACCUCUUCGUGCCGUUGAUACUGGUUGGCUUGAGUGUAUGAGUAGUAUGCGGAAUGUAUGGUGUAGCGGUGAAAUGCAUAGAGAUCACACAGAACUCCGAUUGCGAAGGCAGCAUACCAGGGUACAACUGACGUUCAUGCACGAAAGUGUGGGUAGCGAACAGGAUUAGAUACCCCGGUAGUC
rnacentral:rRNA from 1 species